UACGUAGGGAGCAAGCGUUGUCCGGAAUCAUUGGGCGUAAAGCGCGCGUAGGCGGCUCAGUAAGUCUGUUGUGAAAGCCCAGGGCUCAACCCUGGAACGCCGAUGGAUACUGCUGAGCUCGAGUCCGGAAGAGGCGAGUGGAAUUCCUGGUGUAGCGGUGAAAUGCGCAGAUAUCAGGAGGAACACCAAUGGCGAAGGCAGCUCGCUGGGACGGUACUGACGCUGAGGCGCGAAAGCGUGGGGAGCAAACAGG
rnacentral:rRNA from 1 species